UGAAUGUUUGUGCAUGCCUGUGUACC
rnacentral:piRNA from 1 species